UGGUGUGUCAGAAAAAUACAUAAAAAGGCUGAGUUCUGCUAUCUUACUAAGAAAAUAAAUUACCUAAGAGAAAAUCCUAACUUGAAGUGAAUUUAGUCAGAAGACCUCUUUCUGACAUAUUUGUAUAUAGUUGUAACUGAUACCUCACCAGUUACAUAAAACAUGUUUAUUAUUAUUAGUUAUAUAUUCAGAGCCUUUUCUGAAUAACUAACAAUGAAAUACAGCUUAUACCAUACAUAAACUGUAUUGUUUAUUAUAAUUUCCAGACCUUUAGGAAAUUAUCCCUUACUUGUCAAAUGUUUUCCUAUUUAAUCCUAUUUAUUACAAAAUGACAAACGUUAACAGUAAACAUGAACUUCAAUGAACAAUUUCAAUAAUCCUAACUUUAAAAGAUAAACUAGAAAUAAAGCUUUAAAGAGUCCGCUAAAAUGAAAUAUUCCUUUUAAACUUUGAAAACGCUAACUUUACUAUUUUCCUUUACAAUUUAACCUUUAAAAAAAAUGAAGUUUCUAAGGAAAAUAAACCAUUUUGACUAAAAUAAAUAACGAGCAAAUAAAAAUACCAACUGUAAGAACCAAAAGUUUAAGCAGAACUGACGACCAAGCGUCGAAAUUACGUCAAUGUUGGAUUGUUGGAUUGUUGGAUGGUUGGAUGGUUGGAUCGCGCGCUUGCCGUCCAACCAAAUAUUUGAAUUCUUAAUAAAUUACAAAAAUCACAAUAAUAUACAAUUUAAGUAACCUUUAUAUAAUAAACAAAGUUUGCAUGGUACUAAACAAAUUUCUAUAGUAACUAAAAAUACAACAAUAUAUACAGCGCCACCGGAAGUCACAAUACGUAAACAACAUUGCGAAAAGUCAUGUGUGUCACCGGCGGACCAAAAUGUUAAAUAUCAAGGAAAGUGAGCAUUAACAUCUACAAAACAUUGAAGACGUUGACUACAAAUACUAAAAGGAAUUACAAGAAGUAUGUGAAAACAGUUGCCAACACGUAAAAAUAGUGUUUUUAUUGAACAAUCGUCCCAAGUGACACAUGGAUUCUACUGCGCAUGUCAAUACAUUUCAUUCAUAAAAUUCAAGCACAGGUGCGUGGAAUUUACUACGAUUUACUACGAUCUACUACAGUUGCUACAAUUGGAUCUUCACAAAAAUACAAGACAUACAGUUGGAUUAUUCAGUGGAUUAUUACUAUGAACUGGUAAAUUAUUACAUGAACUUCAACUGGUUUAUCAAAUAUAUACAAAUGACAGUAAUUCAAUAUUUCUACAAGAAUCAUAAUAUUGUAAUUGUUCUAACUUUACUUUAUUAAAUGUUAAUUAAAACUUAUUUGCUUCAAUUAUCAAAUGUUCCAGACUACUAGCAUUACAAGUAGUAUAAUACAAGUUAUUUCACACAGUUACUGUUUCCUACAUCAUAACUUACAUAAAAAUUACAGAAUAUUAGACAGUAUGCUUUAUUAAUACCAAUUUAAAACAUACAUCAAAAAUAUCUUACAUGUCUAUCACACGUCAUAAUAAAAUACAUGAAAAUACAUGUACCCUAGUCGUCGUACUCUACAUUUUACCCCCUUUCCAUUAUUUGCGUCCCCGCAAAUACUUUAAACUUUUGCCAAAGAUUCCAUUUAAAAUUUUCUAUGUCUUAAAUCCUUCGUAAAUAUAUACAUAUUCUUCUUAAAGAGAAAUUAUUUCUAAAACUGGAUGAAAUCAGCUUUCUUAUUACUACAAUCUAUGAUUAUAACACAAAUACAUCAUAAUAUAAUACCAGAUUAUGUAAAAAUUAUACAUAAAUAUAUAUAUUUAUAUAUUUUACAGAUACACCAGUACACCGGAAGAUUCAACAUUGUGACCAUCAGCAUGAGGGCGGUAGAUACCAGAUAAACAUACAUAUAUACCAACUGUGGAAAAUUACUGAAUGUUAUGAACAAACUGGAACAUGGCUAAGAACCAGAAGUUUUCUGAAGGAAAAUUUUAGUUACCAUGCAAAUAGUACCAAAACAUUUAAAUACAAGUUCAAAAAUACACCCAAAAUUUAACUUUUCACACUUAAAAG
rnacentral:lncRNA from 1 species